CCUGAAUUAACCCAGAAGUGACGGGCAAUUUGUGCAUACAAAAUAAAAAUUUCAAUUUCAACUUUAUUUUUGUAAAAUUUAAUAUUAGGUCCUAUUUAUUUCUUUUAAUUAAACAUUUUAAAUUAUUUAACCUAAUGUGUUUCGCUAAGACCAUAACAUAAUCCCUUGUCUUGAUUUGUAAUAAAAUUGAUUAAUAUAUUUUAAGAAGAUUUCUUUCAAAAUUUUCUAUGUACAAUGAUAUAAGAAGUUUAAAAUAGGGUUUAUUUAAUCGUGGAUUAUCUAUUACCAAGUAAAACCCCCUAAAAAAUUUUGUACCGCCAUCUCAUUUAGAUUUCUCUUAAAUAGUUACUAUCCUGAUUGGUAAUAAAA
rnacentral:rRNA from 1 species